GCUGACGAGUGGCGGACGGGUGAGUAAUGUCUGGGAAACUGCCCGAUGGAGGGGGAUAACUACUGGAAACGGUAGCUAAUACCGCAUAACGUCGCAAGACCAAAGAGGGGGACCUUAGGGCCUCUUGCCAUCGGAUGUGCCCAGAUGGGAUUAGCUAGUAGGUGGGGUAAAGGCUCACCUAGGCGACGAUCCCUAGCUGGUCUGAGAGGAUGACCAGCCACACUGGAACUGAGACACGGUCCAG
rnacentral:rRNA from 1 species